rnacentral:rRNA from 2 species
AAAUUGAAGAGUUUGAUCAUGGCUCAGAUUGAACGCUGGCGGCAGGCCUAACACAUGCAAGUCGAGCGGUAGCACAGAGAGCUUGCUCUCGGGUGACGAGCGGCGGACGGGUGAGUAAUGUCUGGGAAACUGCCUGAUGGAGGGGGAUAACUACUGGAAACGGUAGCUAAUACCGCAUAAUGUCGUAAGACCAAAGUGGGGGACCUUCGGGCCUCAUGCCAUCAGAUGUGCCCAGAUGGGAUUAGCUAGUAGGUGGGGUAACGGCUCACCUAGGCGACGAUCCCUAGCUGGUCUGAGAGGAUGACCAGCCACACUGGAACUGAGACACGGUCCAGACUCCUACGGGAGGCAGCAGUGGGGAAUAUUGCACAAUGGGCGCAAGCCUGAUGCAGCCAUGCCGCGUGUGUGAAGAAGGCCUUCGGGUUGUAAAGCACUUUCAGCGGGGAGGAAGGCGAUAAGGUUAAUAACCUUGUCGAUUGACGUUACCCGCAGAAGAAGCACCGGCUAACUCCGUGCCAGCAGCCGCGGUAAUACGGAGGGUGCAAGCGUUAAUCGGAAUUACUGGGCGUAAAGCGCACGCAGGCGGUCUGUCAAGUCGGAUGUGAAAUCCCCGGGCUCAACCUGGGAACUGCAUUCGAAACUGGCAGGCUAGAGUCUUGUAGAGGGGGGUAGAAUUCCAGGUGUAGCGGUGAAAUGCGUAGAGAUCUGGAGGAAUACCGGUGGCGAAGGCGGCCCCCUGGACAAAGACUGACGCUCAGGUGCGAAAGCGUGGGGAGCAAACAGGAUUAGAUACCCUGGUAGUCCACGCCGUAAACGAUGUCGAUUUGGAGGUUGUGCCCUUGAGGCGUGGCUUCCGGAGCUAACGCGUUAAAUCGACCGCCUGGGGAGUACGGCCGCAAGGUUAAAACUCAAAUGAAUUGACGGGGGCCCGCACAAGCGGUGGAGCAUGUGGUUUAAUUCGAUGCAACGCGAAGAACCUUACCUGGUCUUGACAUCCACAGAACUUUCCAGAGAUGGAUUGGUGCCUUCGGGAACUGUGAGACAGGUGCUGCAUGGCUGUCGUCAGCUCGUGUUGUGAAAUGUUGGGUUAAGUCCCGCAACGAGCGCAACCCUUAUCCUUUGUUGCCAGCGGUCCGGCCGGGAACUCAAAGGAGACUGCCAGUGAUAAACUGGAGGAAGGUGGGGAUGACGUCAAGUCAUCAUGGCCCUUACGACCAGGGCUACACACGUGCUACAAUGGCAUAUACAAAGAGAAGCGACCUCGCGAGAGCAAGCGGACCUCAUAAAGUAUGUCGUAGUCCGGAUUGGAGUCUGCAACUCGACUCCAUGAAGUCGGAAUCGCUAGUAAUCGUAGAUCAGAAUGCUACGGUGAAUACGUUCCCGGGCCUUGUACACACCGCCCGUCACACCAUGGGAGUGGGUUGCAAAAGAAGUAGGUAGCUUAACCUUCGGGAGGGCGCUUACCACUUUGUGAUUCAUGACUGGGGUGAAGUCGUAACAAGGUAACCGUAGGGGAACCUGCGGUUGGAUCACCUCCUUA